rnacentral:rRNA from 1 species
AUCCUGCCGGAGGUUACUGCUAUCGAGGUUCGACUAAGCCAUGCGAGUCGAAUGUAGCAAUACAUGGCGUACUGCUCAGUAACACGUGGACAACCUACCCUUAGGCCGGGGAUAAACCCGGGAAACUGGGUAUAAUACCCGAUAGUCCUCGACUGCUGGAAUGCAUCGAGGACUAAAGCUCCGGCGCCUAAGGAUGGGUCUGCGGCCUAUCAGGUAGUAGUGGGUGUAGCGUACCUACUAGCUACGACGGGUACGGGUUGUGAGAGCAAGAGCCCGGAGAUGGAUUCUGAGACACGAAUCCAGGCCCUACGGGGUGCAGCAGGCGCGAAAACUUUACAAUGCUGGAAACAGCGAUAAGGGGACCUCGAGUGCCAGGUUACAAAUCUGGCUGUCGUGAUGCCUAAAAAGCAUUGCAUAGCAAGGGCCGGGCAAGACCGGUGCCAGCCGCCGCGGUAACACCGGCGGCUCGAGUGGUAACCGUUAUUAUUGGGUCUAAAGGGUCUGUAGCCGGCCGGAUAAGUCUCUUGGGAAAUCUGGCAGCUUAACUGUCAGGCUUUCAGGAGAUACUGUCUGGCUCGAGGCCGGGAGAGGUGAGAGGUACUUCAGGGGUAGGGGUGAAAUCUUGUAAUCCUUGAAGGACCACCAGUGGCGAAGGCGUCUCACCAGAACGGACCUGACGGCAAGGGACGAAAGCUAGGGGCACGAACCGGAUUAGAUACCCGGGUAGUCCUAGCCGUAAACGAUACUCGCUAGGUGUCGGCCACGGUGCGACCGUUGUCGGUGCCGUAGGGAAGCCGUGAAGCGAGCCACCUGGGAAGUACGGCCGCAAGGCUGAAACUUAAAGGAAUUGGCGGGGGAGCACCACAACGGGUGGAGCUUGCGGUUUAAUUGGAUCAACGCCGGAA